rnacentral:rRNA from 1 species
AUUGAACGCUGGCGGCAGGCCUAACACAUGCAAGUCGAGCGGAUGAAGGGAGCUUGCUCCUGGAUUCAGCGGCGGACAGGUGAGUAAUGCCUAGGAAUCUGCCUGGUGGUGGGGGAUAACGUCCGGAAACGGGCGCUAAUACCGCAUACGUCCUGAGGGAGAAAGUGGGGGAUCUUCGGACCUCACGCUAUCAGAUGAGCCUAGGUCGGAUUAGCUAGUUGGUGGGGUAAAGGCCUACCAAGGCGACGAUCCGUAACUGGUCUGAGAGGAUGAUCAGUCACACUGGAACUGAGACACGGUCCAGACUCCUACGGGAGGCAGCAGUGGGGAAUAUUGGACAAUGGGCGAAAGCCUGAUCCAGCCAUGCCGCGUGUGUGAAGAAGGUCUUCGGAUUGUAAAGCACUUUAAGUUGGGAGGAAGGGCAGUAAGUUAAUACCUUGCUGUUUUGACGUUACCAACAGAAUAAGCACCGGCUAACUUCGUG